rnacentral:sRNA from 3 species
UGCAUCUGAAGCCUGACGAGGAUGAGAACCUCCGGGGGCAAGAGGUUCGACUCGAGCGCAGCGAGAGAACGUUGCGUCAGCAACGGCCCGCAGGGCGAGCCACGC